GAUGAACGCUGACAGAAUGCUUAACACAUGCAAGUCAUUGGCGAAGCUGCGCUUGCGCAGUCUAGCCAAGGCGGACGGGUGAGUAACGCGUAAGGAACUUGCCCUGCAGACAGGGAUAACAGACGGAAACGACUGAUAACACCUGGUAUUGUCAGGCUGGCGCAUGCCGGCCUGAUGAAAGGAGACGCUGCAGGAGAGCCUUGCGUCCUAUUAGCUAGUUGGUGGGGUAACGGCCCACCAAGGCGAUGAUAGGUAGCCGGCCUGAGAGGGUGAACGGCCACAAGGGGACUGAGAGACGGCCCUUACUCCUACGGGAGGCAGCAGGGGGGAAUAUUGGACAAUGGGGGCAACCCUGAUCCAGCAAUUCUGUGUGCACGAAGAAGGUUUUCGGAUUGUAAAGUGCUUUCAGCAGGGAAGAAGAAAGUGACGGUACCUGCAGAAGAAGCGACGGCUAAAUACGUG
rnacentral:rRNA from 1 species